CAUUAGUACUGACAGGAAUGGUAAGCUACAAUAAAUUGAAUGUUGGAGACCCAUUGGCUUUUGUAUUUGAUCAAUUGCAUUUAAAAUGGAUGUCGGGAAUUAUU
rnacentral:sRNA from 1 species